rnacentral:ncRNA from 1 species
AACUGACAAGGGCAAACUUACCGAAAGGUAAGGACGCAAAGUCAUGGGCCUUAGGCUAUUACUAAAUUAAAAGUGUAACUAAACACUUUUAAUUUAUAUGAAAAGCGAUGGUUGCCAGAUUACCGGA